rnacentral:rRNA from 1 species
CGCUAUCACUCCUACGGGGAGGCAGCAGUGGGGGAAUAUUGCACAAUGGGCGAAAGCCUGAUGCAGCCAUGCCGCGUGUGUGAAGAAGGCCUUCGGGUUGUAAAGCACUUUCAGCGAGGAGGAAAGGUUGACGGUUAAUACCCGUCAGCUGUGACGUUACUCGCAGAAGAAGCACCGGCUAACUCCGUGCCAGCAGCCGCGGUAAUACGGAGGGUGCGAGCGUUAAUCGGAAUUACUGGGCGUAAAGCGCAUGCAGGCGGCCAAGUCAGUCAGAUGUGAAAGACCCCGGGCCGUUAACCUAGGGAAGUUGCAUUUAGUAAACUAGCUUGGCUAGAGUCCUUGAGAGGGGGGUAGGAAUUUCAGGUGUAGCGGUGAAAUGCGUAGAGAUCUGAAGGAAUACCAGUGGCGAAGGCGGCCCCCUCGGCAAGAGACUGACGCUCAGAUGCGAAAGCGUGGGGAGCAAACAGGAUUAGAUACCCUGGUAG